rnacentral:lncRNA from 1 species
UCCUCCAUAAAAUAACUAAUUUAUGGAAAAUGACAAAAUUGAACCAGUGUACUAAAUACUCACAAAAAAAAACACAGACACAAAGAUUGGAUUGCAUUUAAAUCAGAUGAUAGGGAAUGAAACUGUACUUUAUCCUAAAUUCCAUUAACAUUAGAAUGGAAAGUUGAAGCAAAGGAAUCAGACGGUGAAAGAGAGAACGCUCAUGCCUAAGUUUGUAUUUGAAUUUUGAGCAAACGUCAUAGAACAUUUCCUCAACCAACAUGACAAUCACGGAAAACAUAUAUGUGCAAUAUUCUUAAAAGCAAACAAACAACUUUUCUCCAGAAAAAGAAAAAGGUAUUAAUCAUACAAUCCAAAAAUCCUUAAAAUUUAUGAGAUCUUCUAAGUGAAAAAAUAAGAAAAAAAGCAUCCUUUCACCGAAAGAUCAGCACGUAACCAUUUUCCCUGUCAAAAGAACUUGAUCCUAGGGCAUUCUAUAUUAAAUGGUGACAAUUUGGGGAACAUUAAGAACAUUUUGGUCAAGAUCUUGAGUAAUUCCCUUCUAAACAGGUGGUGGCAUGGAAAGAGAUAAAAAGACCAUUGCAUCAAGGUGGUCUGGGUUUAAG